ACCUAUUUGGCAAGCUCAUGCAAUAACCUUCAAUGGCGGAUAUAUAUAUAGAUAGAUAGAUACAUGCGAGAGAACUUGAGAGUUGAGAGUGAUCUAUGCUGAUAUAAAGGUAGAGAGGAGCGUUGGUUUUGUGAGCGGGACAGAGGCACAGUUCAAAAAAACAAAAAAUAAUAUUAAAAAAUGAAAAGAAAGAAGAGAAGACAGAAGUGAAGCAAAAAAGACAAUUAAUGCAAUUUCAAC
rnacentral:lncRNA from 1 species